ACAAGGCAAAUUAUCAGCAAUUUAAACAACUUAACAGUAGUUUAAUCAGCAGCAGAAGCAAAACAAUUACUAGCUAUGGCUACUAGUAAUACACACAUGCACACGGGUACUUCUCCUCCCCCUAAAUCUGUGCAACAAUCAGAAUUACUAGUUAUGGAUGCAACUAGUAAGACACACAAAUGCAUAAUGCACCAGGGUACUUC
rnacentral:lncRNA from 1 species